rnacentral:rRNA from 1 species
GCUUAACACAUGCAAGUCGAACGAAGCACUCUAUUUGAUUUUCUUCGGAAAUGAAGAUUUUGUGACUGAGUGGCGGACGGGUGAGUAACGCGUGGGUAACCUGCCUCAUACAGGGGGAUAACAGUUGGAAACGACUGCUAAUACCGCAUAAGCGCACAGGAUCGCAUGAUCUGGUGUGAAAAACUCCGGUGGUAUGAGAUGGACCCGCGUCUGAUUAGCCAGUUGGCAGGGUAACGGCCUACCAAAGCGACGAUCAGUAGCCGACCUGAGAGGGUGACCGGCCACAUUGGGACUGAGACACGGCCCAAACUCCUACGGGAGGCAGCAGUGGGGAAUAUUGCACAAUGGGGGAAACCCUGAUGCAGCGACGCCGCGUGAGCGAAGAAGUAUUUCGGUAUGUAAAGCUCUAUCAGCAGGGAAGAAGAAUGACGGUACCUGACUAAGAAGCACCGGCUAAAUACGUGCCAGCAGCCGCGGUAAUACGUAUGGUGCAAGCGUUAUCCGGAUUUACUGGGUGUAAAGGGAGCGCAGGCGGUGCGGCAAGUCUGAUGUGAAAGCCCGGGGCUCAACCCCGGUACUGCAUUGGAAACUGUCGUACUAGAGUGUCGGAGGGGUAAGUGGAAUUCCUAGUGUAGCGGUGAAAUGCGUAGAUAUUAGGAGGAACACCAGUGGCGAAGGCGGCUUACUGGA